GAGCCCGUAGCUCAGUGGACUAGAGCAGGUGGCUACGGACCACAAGGUCGGGGGUUCGACUCCCUCCGGGCUUA
rfam:Vitrella brassicaformis CCMP3155 genome assembly, contig: scaffold1020